CAGCCGCCGCGGUAAUACGUAGGGUGCAAGCGUUAAUCGGAAUUACUGGGCGUAAAGCGUGCGCAGGCGGUUUGUUAAGACAGAUGUGAAAUCCCCGGGCUCAACCUGGGAACUGCAUUUGUGACUGGCAAGCUAGAGUAUGGCAGAGGGGGGUGGAAUUCCGCGUGUAGCAGUGAAAUGCGUAGAUAUUCGGAGGAACACCAGUGGCGAAGGCGGCUCACUGGUCCAUUACUGACGCUGAGGUGCGAAAGCGUGGGGAGCAAACAGGAUUAGAUACCCCAGUAGUCCCUGUCUCUUAUAU
rnacentral:rRNA from 1 species